UACGGAGGGUGCGAGCGUUGUCCGGAAUCAUUGGGCGUAAAGGGCGCGUAGGUGGCCCGGUCAGUUCGUGGUGAAAGCGCGGGGCUCAACCCUGCGUCGGCCAUGAAUACUGCCGCGGCUGGAGCACUGUAGAGGCAGGCGGAAUUCCGGGUGUAGCGGUGGAAUGCGUAGAGAUCCGGAAGAACACCGGUGGCGAAGGCGGCCUGCUGGGCAGUUGCUGACACUGAGGCGCGGACAGCGUGGGAGCAACAG
rnacentral:rRNA from 1 species